AUUGAACGCUGGCGGCAGGCCUAACACAUGCAAGUCGAGCGGUAGAGAGGUGCUUGCAUCUCUUGAGAGCGGCGGACGGGUGAGUAAUGCCUAGGAAUCUGCCUAGUGGUGGGGGAUAACGUUCGGAAACGGACGCUAAUACCGCAUACGUCCUACGGGAGAAAGCGGGGGGAUCUUCGGACCUCGCGCCAUUAGAUGAGCCUAGGUCGGAUUAGCUAGUUGGUGAGGUAAUGGCUCACCAAGGCGACGAUCCGUAACUGGUCUGAGAGGAUGAUCAGUCACACUGGAACUGAGACACGGUCCAGACUCCUACGGGAGGCAGCAGUGGGGAAUAUUGGACAAUGGGCGAAAGCCUGAUCCAGCCAUGCCGCGUGUGUGAAGAAGGUCUUCGGAUUGUAAAGCACUUUAG
rnacentral:rRNA from 1 species